AUUGAACGCUGGCGGCAGGCUUAACACAUGCAAGUCGAACGAGUGGCGGACGGGUGAGUAAUGCAUGGGAAUCUAGCUGAUGGAGGGGGAUAACUACGGGAAACUGUAGCUAAUACCGCGUACCAUAGGAUGAGCCCAAGUGGGAUUAGGUAGUUGGUGGGGUAAAGGCUCACCAAGCCGACGAUCUCUAGCUGGUUUGAGAGGAUGAUCAGCCACACUUGGACGUGGACACGGCCCAUGCUCCUACGGGAGGCAGCAGUGGGGAAUAUUGGACAAUGGGCGAAAGCCUGAUCCAGCAAUACCGCGUGUGUGAAGAAAGCCCUAGGGUUGUAAAGCACUUUUGUUAGGGAGAUGUUACCUAAAGAAUAAGCACCGGCUAACUCCGUGCCAGCAGCCGCGGUAAUUC
rnacentral:rRNA from 1 species